GGGUUUGUGGUAUAGUGGUAGCAUACAUCCUUAGGGUGGAUGUGACCCCGGUUCAAUUCCGGGCAAACCCC
rnacentral:tRNA from 1 species